rnacentral:rRNA from 1 species
CCUACGGGAGGCAGCAGUGGGGGAUAUUGCACAAUGGGGGAAACCCUGAUGCAGCGACGCCGCGUGGGUGAAGGAGUAUUUCGGCACGUAAAGCCCUAUCAGCAGGGAAGAUGAUGACGGUACCUGACCUAGAAGCCCCGGCUAAAUACGUGCCAGCAGCCGCGGUCAUACGUAGGGGGCGAGCGUUAUCCGGAUUUACUGGGUGUAAAGGGAGCGUAGACGGCCACUCAAGGCAGGGGUGAAAUCCCGGGGCUCAACCCCGGGACUGCCCUGGAAACUGUGCGGCUAGAGUGCGGGAGGGGUAGGCGGAAUUCCUGGUGUAGCGGUGAAAUGCGUAGAUAUUAGGAGGAACACCGGCGGCGAAGGCGGCUUGCUGGACCGCGACUGACGUUGAGGCUCGAAAGCGUGGGGAGCGAACAGGAUUAGAUACCCGGGUAGUC